rnacentral:rRNA from 1 species
CCUACGGGAGGCAGCAGUGGGGAAUUUUGGACAAUGGGCGAAAGCCUGAUCCAGCCAUGCCGCGUGCAGGAUGAAGGCCUUCGGGUUGUAAACUGCUUUUGUACGGAACGAAAAGCCUCUUUCUAAUAAAGAGGGGUCAUGACGGUACCGUAAGAAUAAGCACCGGCUAACUACGUGCCAGCAGCCGCGGUAAUACGUAGGGUGCAAGCGUUAAUCGGAAUUACUGGGCGUAAAGCGUGCGCAGGCGGUUUUGUAAGACAGAGGUGAAAUCCCCGGGCUCAACCUGGGAACUGCCUUUGUGACUGCAAGGCCGGAGUGCGGCAGAGGGGGAUGGAAUUCCGCGUGUAGCAGUGAAAUGCGUAGAUAUGCGGAGGAACACCGAUGGCGAAGGCAAUCCCCUGGGCCUGCACUGACGCUCAUGCACGAAAGCGUGGGGAGCAAACAGGAUUAGAUACCCUGGUAGUCCACGCCCUAAACGAUGUCAACUGGUUGUUGGGUCUUCACUGACUCAGUAACGAAGCUAACGCGUGAGUUGACCGCCGUGGGGAGUACGGCCGCAAGGUUGAAACUUAAAGUGAAUUGACGG